rnacentral:rRNA from 1 species
UAGGGAAUCUUCGGCAAUGGACGGAAGUCUGACCGAGCAACGCCGCGUGAGUGAAGAAGGUUUUCGGAUCGUAAAACUCUGUUGGUAGAGAAGAACGUUGGUGAGAGUGGAAAGCUCAUCAAGUGACGGUAACUACCCAGAAAGGGACGGCUAACUACGUGUCAG